rnacentral:rRNA from 1 species
GACGAACGCUGGCGGCGCGCCUAACACAUGCAAGUCGAGCGAGAACCGGGACUUCGGUCCCGGGGACAGCGGCGAACGGGUGAGUAACACGUGGAUAACCUGCCCUCGGCACCGGAAUAGCCCGGGGAAACCCGGAUUAAUGCCGGAUAGCCCCACAUCCUCGAGAGGAAGUGGGAAAAGGUAGCUUCGGCCUCUGGCCGAGGAUGGGUCCGCGGUGGAUUAGCUUGUUGGCGGGGUAAUGGCCCACCAAGGCGACGAUCCAUAGCUGGUCUGAGAGGACGAUCAGCCACACUGGGACUGAGACACGGCCCAGACUCCUACGGGAGGCAGCAGUGGGGAAUCUUGCGCAAUGGGCGAAAGCCUGACGCAGCGACGCCGCGUGAGGGAUGACGGCCU